CUUUGACAUUCUCCUGAAUGUGAAAGGAAAGAUGGCUUCUGCUAUCACUUACAGAUGGGCCCGCGGCGCAUUAGCUAGUUGGUGGGAUAACGGCUCACCAAGGCGACGAUGCGUAGCCGACCUGAGAGGGUGAUCGGCCACACUGGGACUGAGACACGGCCCAGACUCCUACGGGAGGCAGCAGUAGGGAAUCUUCCGCAAUGGACGCAAGUCUGACGGAGCAACGCCGCGUGAGUGAAGAAGGUUUUCGGAUCGUAAAACUCUGUUGUUAGGGAAGAACCCGUACCGUUCAAAUAGGGCGGUACGCUGACGGUACCUAACCAGAAAGCCACGGCUAACUACGUGCCAGCAGCCGCGGUAAUACGUAGGUGGCAAGCGUUGUCCGGAAUUAUUGGGCGUAAAGCGCGCGCAGGCGGUUUCUUAAGUCUGAUGUGAAAGCCCACGGCUCAACCGUGGAGGGUCAUUGGAAACUGGGAGACUUGAGUGCAGAAGAGGAGAGUGGAAUUCCACGUGUAGCGGUGAAAUGCGUAGAGAUGUGGAGGAACACCAGUGGCGAAGGCGGCUCU
rnacentral:rRNA from 2 species